rnacentral:snoRNA from 1 species
AUCAGGAGCCCCCUGACUGAGAGACUAUCAUGCACCACUCUGAGG